rnacentral:rRNA from 1 species
ACCAAACAGCUAGCUCGACCCAAAUGACCAAAUCGACAACAUAAAUCAACCUAACACAAACUCACCCCACCAACUAAACCAUUCGACCACCCCAGUACGGGCGACAGAAAAGGACCAAGGAAGCUAUAGACAAA